AACGUAGGAGACAAACGUUAUCCGGAGUUACUGGGCGUAAAGGGCGUGUAGGUGGUUGCGUAAGUCUGGCGUGAAAUUUUUCGGCUUAACCGGGAAAGGUCGUCGGAUACUGCGUAGCUAGAGGACGGUAGAGGCGUGUGGAAUUCCGGGUGUAGUGGUGGAAAUGCGUAGAGAUCCGGAGGAACACCAGUGGCGAAGGCGCACGCUGGGCCGUACCUGACACUGAUGCGCGACAGCAUGGGGAGCAAACAGG
rnacentral:rRNA from 1 species